rnacentral:rRNA from 1 species
GACGAACGCUGGCGGCGUGCCUAAUACAUGCAAGUCGAGCGCAGGAAAUCGACGGAACCCUUCGGGGGGAAGUCGACGGAAUGAGCGGCGGACGGGUGAGUAACACGUAAAGAACCUGCCCUCAGGUCUGGGAUAACCACGAGAAAUCGGGGCUAAUACCGGAUGGGUCAUCGGACCGCAUGGUCCGAGGAUGAAAGGCGCUUCGGCGUCGCCUGGGGAUGGCUUUGCGGUGCAUUAGCUAGUUGGUGGGGUAAUGGCCCACCAAGGCGACGAUGCAUAGCCGGCCUGAGAGGGUGAUCGGCCACACUGGGACUGAGAAACGGCCCAGACUCCUACGGGAGGCAGCAGUAGGGAAUCUUCCACAAUGGACGAAAGUCUGAUGGAGCAACGCCGCGUGAACGAUGAAGGCCUUCGGGUCGUAAAGUUCUGUUGUAAGGGAAGAACAAGUGCCGCAGGCAAUGGCGGCACCUUGACGGUACCUUGCGAGAAAGCCACGGCUAACUACGUGCCAGCCGCCGCGGUAA